CAGUCAGCACAGAGCCCGAUGAGGGGCUCGAACUCGGGAGAUUGUGACCUGAGCCAAAGUCAGAUGCUUAACCUCAGGCGCCCCUAUUGUUAGUGUUUUUAAUAUGCUUUCUUUUCUGUUCAAAUUCAUCAAGACGCAAGAUUGUUUUAUUCAUUCUUCUGUCCCAGUGCUUGUUCCAAUGAUUGGCAUAUCGUAGGUGCUCCAGAAAUAUUUGUGGAAAGGAUGAGGGUUUUUUUGUUGUGUAAAAUGUACUUUAUUAAGGCCUGUCUAUGUUAUAAAUGGACGGAUGAUGAGGUAUGUAAAAUUAUAUUUGGUAUUAGAGAACUGUGCUAAACCAUACUAAAUAGGGCAAAUGGGAUUAAUUAUUAUUCUUUAAUAACAUGAAUACUUUCAGCUCAGAUUUUCACAGAAUAACAGAAUUCAGAGCUUGGAGAGGCUUUAGAAGUAAUUUGCCGCAGGCAGACAGACCCCAAAAUAAUUUAAAGAGCAGUUUGUUACGUCAUUACUUUUUUUACCCCGCCUUCAGCUUGUAUUUUCUUUUGAUGUCUUAAUAUUUUCCUGUCCUUGGUGAAAAGUACUUCCCUCUUGUCAGAUUUUUGAAGUCCAGGAAAGCUUGGGGUGAAACAGUUUCCGGGAAAUUCAUCAUGGCCCUGAGGAUUAGAAGGGGACUUGCAGUGUUUCCGCUGGCUUCUGCAGUUGGGUUAAACAGGCCUACUUCAAGGCCACUGGCUCGGCGUUCCCUAAGAGCGUCUGAGUUCCCGUUCCAUGCCUCUACCCUGGGGGCCCUCCGGGGAAUGAAAGCUGCUCCCUCAACAAGCGAUAGGAGUCCUGCUCCGAUGGAUGAGCCAGGCUGAAGUGGACAAGGAAGGAAGCGUGAGCACUUCUGGGCUCAGAGGGUCAUCUUUGCUGUGACUCCAGAGACGGUGGCUCUUGAAAUGGAACCCGGUCUUGUGUCUCUAUUUGAUUAGUAAUAUUAAAAGUGGCAUUUUUCUUCCUUAAAUGUUUGAAACAAUUCAGCAGUGCCAA